rnacentral:sRNA from 12 species
UGAGUGUCAGGGAUCAGAAGGGGUGAACAAGACCCUUAGAC